CCACGAGGCAAGGGGAAGAAUCAAAAACGCGGGGCAAAGACCAGUACGGCGGCAGCGUGAAACAACGCCAAGGACGGAAAGAAACAGGCAACCACAGGAGUCUGACUCAAUGGCCACGAAUCCGUGGAUAGGCCUCCCCGUGACAGGCGGGGCCUGAGGUCCCCCGCCCUUGAUGCUGUGAGUGCUUUGAGCCCCAGAGGAUGUGAAGGGGACACUGCACCAGUUUCUGGGCUCAGCCCUCACGAGACUGGUAGCUUCCACCUCCUCCCUGAAAACACUCUGUGAGCCGCUGGGUGAGAAAUCGACUCCCCCAACACGGCCCAGCUGGACAGGCCAUCUGUAGGUGCUCCGGCCCAUGACCCCAGCGGAGGCCACUGCGUCUAAACGUCACACGUGUGCGUGAGGCCACCCUGGACCUCCCAGCGCAGCCAUCUGCCUGCUGAAUUUCACCGGAGCCGCCUUGGUCAACACAACAAGGUAAAGGAUCACCCAACCGAGAGAUGCCUGAAUUCCUGACCCUCGGCAUCAUGAGACGUGAUGAAAUGGUUGUUGUUUUGAGCUGCUGACUUCGGGGAUGGUUUGUUACUCAGCAGUUUGCCACCAGAGCAGCAUCUGUCUCCCACCGGACCAUCCUCUCCUGACCAUUCAGUCCUCAGCCCAGCACGAGGUGGGCACCACCCAGCGCAUGUGGAGAGGGUGAUGCCACCGUACUCUUUGCUUUCAUACAACAUGGUGAGUCUCUGCUAAAGAGACCUGGGCCUCAGUCCCAGAGGAUGGGUGAAUUCACAGAGCGGUGACACGCACCGAGAGGUCCCAGCAAUGCCCGUCUGAAAGCGCCGGCCCAGCCCUGAAGCCGUGCUCUUCAAGCAGACGUGCGAUGCCUCCAUCUGACAGAAUGAGGGCAGGGGAGCGAGGUGCUCCAACGCUCAUGCUGGCUCCGCAGGUGCUGGGCGAGGCCUCCCUCCAGCCUCGGGGAGCUCCAGGGCCCCCGACUCUGGCUUCACACCCCUGCCAGCACUUCCUUCCUGUCCCUCCGUCCCCUGGGGCUGGAAGUAGCACGUGCAGCCUCCCUUCUGUCCAUCGGUUGCUGGUCCCCUGGGUAAUUUCCCAGGCACCGGCUUCUCUCACAGCAUCCCCAGCUGUCCACAUACUGCGGCCUCAGGGAGUUCAAUUCCUGGGGCAAAAUCCAGGAUUCUGGAUGUUGCAUGCAGCUGGCAACCGCUGCCCUUGGAAUCCCAGACUGAGCUCCACUUCAAUGUUCAUACUUUUCUCCCAAGAAAACGUUCAUUUGUACCCAGCCUCUUCUGUUCUUUUCCUCCCAAGAUUAAAGCACAAACAUCCUCCUAGAUCACACUCCUAAAUGUUCCUUAUAAUAAUGACUACUGGGACUUCCCUGGUGGCGCAGUGGUUAAGAAUCCGCCUGCUAAUGCAGGGGACACAGGUUCGAGCCCUGGUCCGGGAAGAUCCUAUGUGCCGCCGAGCAACUAAGCCCGUGCGCCACAACUACUGAAGCCCACGCGCCGUAGAGCCCGUGCUCCACAGCAACAGAAGCCACUGCAAUGAGAAGCCUGUGCACUGCAAUGAAGAGCGGUCCCCGCUCGCCGCAACUAGAGAAGGCCAGCGUGCAGCAACAAAGACCCAACGCAGCCAAAAGUAAGUUAAUUAAGAUAAUGACAAUGACUCUUACUACGACUAGAUUACUACUACGGUACCACACACUCGGCGGCUUUUAUUACUCUCACAGCUAAUGCUCAGGCUUCUAGAAUCCGGGCACUUCUCUAAGCCACGAGCACCCACUGUCACUGGACUCAUUCUGCUCUGCAGGUGUAGCUCCGUAUGGGUCACCUCCUUACCCACAGCAGUGGGAGCAGCUGCACAAUCGGCAGGGCCCGGAGCAAAAUGAAAAUGCAAAGGCCCUUAUUCAGAACCUACCAAGCAUUUCAAGAUGGCGACAGCAGAGCAUUAACCCACCAUCCACACCACGGUGCGGAGCUGAACAGCGCUCAACCCGCCCAGCUGAACGCGGCAGCCCUGCUCCCCAUUUACAUUUGCUGCCCCCAGUUCCUCCUCUCCCAGUUUUCCAUGGGGCGGCCAAAGUGAUCUUGAAAACUGUUUAUCAGCUAACAUUAUUCCUGGCUGGAAACCCACAAAUAAGUCCUCAUUGAAAUUUAGGUAAACCCAAAGUCACGGUCGUGAGCUUCUCAAGCGGGGAGCUGGAGCACACAGAUACAGCCAAACACUGAUAGCUAGUAGGUUUUCUGAGAUCCAGCUCCUCCCAGCCCCAGGGGCAGCCAGGCGGGACCCCGGGCAACUGGAGGUUCCUGGGCAUCCAUGCCCUGCACAGUCCCAGGGAAGUAAUCCCGUUAGAGCAGAGAACGGAGAGAGCCCUGCAGGUGCGGCGCCAGGCAUCCUUGUUGGAGUCCCACGCUGGCCACCUCCAACCACCAGCAGCCUGGGUGGAGCUCCUUGGAACGGGGUGCAAGGAUCCUGACAGCGUGGAACCCCACGCCCAGGGGAUCUGGACCCAGGCGUCAUCAUCCCUAUUCCCACCCCGGUUCCCCCCAGCAGCCACACCACCCAGAGCGGCUCUACCAAGAUCACCCCGAGCUUGUCCCUGCCUCAGGCCCUUCUCAUGUCCCCUCCGUCUGGAAGGCUGUGUUCUGGUCUCCGCGUGACGGGCCCCUUCUUUUCAUCCGGGUCUCAGCUCUCAUUUCACCUACUCAGGGAGGGCUUUCCUGACCUGCACUCUCCACUGCAUCACUGUUCUAUUCUGUCUUGAGCCUUUAUCCACUCGGACCUCACCUUGCUCACGGACUGGUCUCCCUGCUUGCUGCCCGGCUGCCCCUCUAGAACGGAGUCCCCGAGAGCCUGGGUGUGUCUGCCCGCUGCCACCGCCGCCCCCGCCCCGGGGGGCUGGUUCCCGACCUCAGGAAGGCGGGUUCUCUGAUUUGGGCAGCUGGAGUCCUGCACUCCACCAGUGAGAUGGCUCUUCCCAUCUGGGGGGACUAGGGCUUCCUCGGCCGGGUUCCCUGCGGGAACCAGACUUUGAGACGCUCCCAGUGGACAUUCACUCCUGCCCUCACCCAUCUGUGCCUCUCGACAGAUACAGACGCGCAUCACUGCUCAGCCCAAACCCUUCACUCUGAGCUGCUGGUCUUAGUUCCACCAGCCAUACCUGGCGGAAGGACGGCAGGGAGGGGACCACAGCCCUCUCCGUCAGAGGCUUACACUUCAGCAGAGGGUCAAGACCUAUGUGGGUAACCAGACAAAAUAAGAUGAGCCCGGCCAGAGAGACACAGUGAGUGAGGUAUGGGUGGUGGAGCGGCAGGAGGGAUAGAAGUGCGGGCAAACAGGUGUGGGUUCAUCUCUGGCCCCGGCUCCCUCCAGUGUGAGACAAGACAGGUAACUCCAGCCAGGUCUCAGUAUCCUCAUCUGCAAAGUGGGCACAACCGUAGCAGCCUCACCAGGUCAUCUGAGGGAUCUGAUGGCACGAUAUGCGUCAAGCCCUUUAGCGGCGCUCCGGGGUCAGAGUAGAUUUUUUAAUUCAUCGUAGUCUGCGUGAUGGUUAUCAUAGCUAAAUGGGGAGAAAGAGCGCAUUUCAGGUGUGAGAGGGGAGCAGUGUGCAAGGCAUAAACGGAUGGGAUCCUAGGGGCGGUGGCACUUGGCUCCUGUCGGGACCACUCGGGCAUCCUAUUUGCUCCGCAAAUCCGUACAUCACAGGUCACCCCGGCCCCAACGUGCAUCCUCCCUGCGAGAGCCCGCGACCCCCUCCAGUCAACCUGGCAUCACCUCUGAGUCCCUCUGCUGCCCCCCCACCUGAAUCACUUCAGCGACCUUCCAAGAAGCCAGGUACGCUCUCUCCAGCCCGGGUUUGCCCGCGGGUGGGUCAUGCCGGGCCCCGGCCCCCGGUCUUCAGUGACUUCCGGUCUUCAGUGAUUCCUUCUGCUUGGCCACGGUAACUCACCACGCACAGGUCCAACCUCCCUCUCCAGCCCCUGAGCCACUGCUGCCUGCCUGUCUGCCUGCUAUGGGUUGAACUGUGUCCUCCCCAAAAGAUAAGCUCAAGUCCUAACCCCCAUACCUCAGAAGGCGACCUAUUUAGAAACAGGGUCAUCGCUGGUGUAAUUAGCUAAGAUAAGGUUAUACUGGAGUGGGGUGAGUCCUUAGCCCAAUGUAACUGGUGUCCUUAAAACAAGAGGAGAGAAACAAGGUCCUACUGUAGAGCACAGGGAACUAUAUUCAAUAUCCUGCGACAAACCGUAAUGGAGGGGACUUCCCUGGUGGCGCAGUGGUUAAGAAUCCGCCUGCCAAUGCAGGGGACACAGGUUCGAUCCCUGGUCCAGGAAGAUCCCACAUGCCGCAGAGCAACUAAGUCCGUGCACCACAACUACUGAGCCUGCGCUCUAGAGCCCGUGAGCCACAACUACUGAGCCCACGAGCCACAGCUACGGAGCCCGCAUGCCUAGAGCCCGUGCUCCGCAACAAGAGAAGCCACUGCAAUGAGAAGCCCACGCACAGCAAUGAAGAGUAGCGCCCGCUCGCCGCAACUAGAGAAAGCCCGCGCGCAGCAACGAAGACCCAACACAGCCAAAAAUAAAUUUAAAAAAUAAAUAAACAAAAUAAAAUAAUUUAGAAAACCAUAAUGGAAAAGAAUAUGAAAAAGAAUAUUAUAUAUAUAUGUAGAACUGAAUCACUAUACUACACUUCAAUAAAAUUAAAAAAAAAAAAAAAAAAAGAAAAGAGGAGAGAGACACAGCGAGGAGACCUGCAGGUCUCUCGGAGGGCAGAUGGCCAAGUGACUGAGGAGACAAAGACCAGCGUUGGAUGCACACGCGACAACGCCUGGGGCUACCAGGCGGUGGAGAGGGAAGGAGCUCCUUCUAGAGCCUCAGAGGGAGCGUGACUCAGCCAGCACCUUGACCUUUGACUGCCAGCCUCCAGAACCGUGUGACAGAACACAUUUCUGUUGUUUUAAGCCCCUCCGUUUGUGGUGCUCGGUCACGGCAGCUCCUGGAAACGAACACACCAGCCUACAGAUCCCCGAAGUUCAGCCCGACAGGACUCUUCUUCCUGGAACGCUUCCCAUCCCCUCCCUGCCGUCCCGCACCCCACGUGCUGCUCGCCAGCCCGAUGCCCCGACUUGGCUGUAUCUCAGCCUGCAGGCCCGGCCUCUCUCCCCGCCCCUCCCAAUCCCUACCUAACCUUCAAAGCCUCCCAUUGUCACAAAGUCUUCCCUUAUUCCCCAGAAGGAUGGCUCUUGACUCUGACCUCCGGAGCUCCUGAACCCUCCUGGCAGCCUGAAUGUAGACACUCAUCUGACAGUAUCCGGGCGCUGACUAAAGGGGUUUCCGUGGGGCUGCUGACGCAGCCCCUGCCCUCACAUCCACGCACCCCGACGUGGGCCCAUCGGAGCAGCACAGCCCUCUCCUCAGCGAUCGGGCCCACGACCUGAGCAGGGCUAUUCAGAAUCCCAAACUGGCAUUUUCUGAACCAGGCAGAGAGGAAUAGCUUUUUCUCCCCCCCUCGAAUCUCAAGCUAAAAUGAUAUAAUCCCAGAAGGGCAAGGGCCUCACCUCUCACCCUAACCAGGAGCCUGAAAGAAUGGGUCAACGGGCUCAGAAGGCCAGACCGAAGACCGAGUCUCUCCAGAGUUUAGUCCACGAGCCAAAGCUGUGCCCCUUUGCGCUUCGGCUGGCAGAGCUGCGCUUCUCUUGUUUACAACCAGCCUCCUGGCUACCUCACUGGAGCUGAAACAGGAUAGGGGCCUGGAGCGCAACAGGUAACAGGACAAGGUCAGUCUCUGCCCUCAAGCUGCACAUGGUUCAGAGUCAGAGGUGGGCGACCCCAGCAUGUGAGAGGCCUCUGGGAAUCACGUGCUCCUCAAACAAGUCACGUGUAAGCUGAGACCUAUAGAUAUAUACGAAGUAUAAAGAUCCAGUCUGUUCUCUACGUCUGUGAGUCUGUUUCUGUUUUGUAGAUAGGUUCAUUUGUGCUGUAUUUUAGAUUCCACAUAGAAGUGACUGUAAAUCAUCUAUACUUCAAUAAAAAAAUAAAUA